rnacentral:rRNA from 1 species
UACGUAGGGGACAAGCGUUAUCCGGAGUUACUGGGCGUAAAGGGCGUGUAGGUGGCUUCGUAAGUCUGGCGUGAAAUUUUUCGGCUUAACCGGGAAAGGUCGUCGGAUACUGCGGGACUAGAGGACGGUAGAGGCGUGUGGAAUUCCGGGUGUAGUGGUGAAAUGCGUAGAGAUCCGGAGGAACACCAGUGGCGAAGGCGACACGCUGGGCCGUACCUGACACUGAUGCGCGACAGCAUGGGGAGCAAACAGG